rnacentral:lncRNA from 1 species
GGGACUCUUUUCAGGAUGUUUUUUAAAAUAACCUGAUCCACAUGGUCUCUUCCCUUCUUGCAGCUGCUACUAAAUUUUCAUACAGAGUAUCAAGCUAUGUCCUUUUUGUAAUCUUAACUCAGUUCUAGGAGCGUAACUUCUCUUUUUUGUUACCGCAAAAGUCUAGCUGUGGUAAACUGACCAUUUUAUCAUUUUAUCAUUACUAUAUAUAUAUAUACUUUUUUUUUUUAAUUUUUGCUUGUAACACCAGCAUUUUACUCCUUAAAAAUGAGAGAAACAUUUCUGCUUUCUGGACUUGUAAACUCUGGUGGAGAAUUGUAGUUCCCCCUUGCUGUUGGCAGGUUCAGACCCUAGAGAAGUGUUUGACCAAGUCUGCAUUUGCAGUCUCUGGAGGCUGCGUUAGCACUUUUAACGGUUUUCUCUACUCAGACUCCCCACCUCGAACAGCCAGCCAGGCCAUUGAAGGAAAAGCAGAGACGAAGCCUUGCACCAUUUCUCUCCAUUGUGGGGCCGAAGUAGCUGCUGUAGCUUGAGUCCCAGCUGCUUUGGGGGAACGAGCUUGUGCUCACUAUGUGGCAGGGGGGUACAGAUGCUCUCUUCCUGAUAGGCACAGUUCACCUAAACUUGGGUUUCUGUGGUUCAUCAAGUUUGGUUAUUACAUAUUUUUUCAAAUGAAAGAAUCAUUUGGCAAG